rnacentral:rRNA from 1 species
AGAAUCAACGCUGGCGGCGUGCCUAACACAUGCAAGUCGAACGAGAAAGUGGAGCAAUCCAUGAGUAAAGUGGCGCACGGGUGAGUAACACGUGACUAACCUACCCUCGAGUGGGGAAUAACUUCGGGAAACCGAGGCUAAUACCGCAUAAAACCUAAGGGUCAAAGGAGCAAUCCGUUUGAGGAGGGGGUCGCGGCAGAUUAGUUAGUUGGCGGGGUAAUGGCCCACCAAGACGAUGAUCUGUAUCCGGCCUGAGAGGGCGCACGGACACACUGGAACUGAAACACGGUCCAGACUCCUACGGGAGGCAGCAGUGGGAAUUUUGCGCAAUGGGGGAAACCCUGACGCAGCAACGCCGCGUGGAGGAUGAAAUCCCUUGGGAUGUAAACUCCUUUCGAUCGGGAAGAUAAUGACGGUACCGGAAGAAGAAGCCCGGCUAACUUCGUGCCAGCAGCCGC